rnacentral:piRNA from 1 species
UCAUAAAUGUGCCUCACCCCCCAAAU